rnacentral:rRNA from 1 species
UACGUAGGGUGCAAGCGUUAAUCGGAAUUACUGGGCGUAAAGCGUGCGCAGGCGGUUUUGUAAGUCUGUCGUGAAAUCCCCGGGCUCAACCUGGGAAUGGCGAUGAAGACUGCAAGGCUAGAAUCUGGCAGAGGGGGGUAGAAUUCCACGUGAUGAGCAGUGAAAUGGCGUAGAGAUGUGGAGGAACACCGAUGGCGAAGGCAGCCCCCUGGGUCAAGAUUGACGCUACAUGCGACGAAAGGCGUGGGGAGCAAA